UACGAAGGGGGCUAGCGUUGUUCGGAAUUACUGGGCGUAAAGCGCGUGUAGGCGGCUCGGAAAGUCGGGUGUGAAAUCCCGGGGCUCAACCCCGGAAGUGCAUUCGAAACUAACAGACUUGAGUCUCGGAGAGGAUGGCGGAAUUCCUGGUGUAGCGGUGAAAUGCGUAGAUAUCAGGAGGAACACCGGUGGCGAAGGCGGCUACCUGGACAGAAACUGACGCUGAGGCGCGAAAGCUAGGGGAGCAAACAGG
rnacentral:rRNA from 1 species